rnacentral:rRNA from 1 species
UGAGGAAUAUUGCACAAUGGCGGAAACUCUGAUGCAGCAACGCCGCGUGGAGGAUGACGCAUUUCGGUGUGUAAACUCCUUUUAAGAGGGAAGAUUAUGACGGUACCUCUUGAAUAAGCACCGGCUAACUCCGUGCCAGCAGCCGCGGUAAUACGGAGGGUGCAAGCGUUACUCGGAAUCACUGGGCGUAAAGGGUGCGUAGGCUGACUUUUAAGUCAGGUGUGAAAUCCAAUGGCUUAACCAUUGAACUGCACCUGAAACUGGGAGUCUAGAGUUCAGAAGGGGCAGAUGGAAUUAGUGGUGUAGGGGUAAAAUCCGUAGAUAUCACUAGGAAUAUCAAAAGCGAAGGCGAUCUGCUGGGAUGAUACUGACGCUGAGGCACGGAAGCGUGGGGAGCAAACAG